CUUAGUGAGUUGCUUCCUCCCUUCUCAUACUGCUGAGUCUACAUUUAAGCAUUCAUUCUUCACAGGAGGACCGACACGACAGAUUGACCUAUCCGGUGAUGCGAAUUGACAAAGAGGACUCAAAGGCCAUAACUGCGGUGUUGGAGAACCACUUAUUUGAGGUGACGGACGGAUUGGGCACUUCAUUGAUUUGAAGUACGAUAUAAAGUCUGCCUUGGCUUUGGAUCUCAUCACAAAUGCAUUCUGUCAGUUCCUCAAGGCUCUUCUCACAUCAUGUGGUGACAUUUGCGUCCAGUGUUAUAUAGCCCUGUCACAUGGAAGAGGUGGAGGAGACCAGCUUACUAAAAAGAAACACUGCCUCUAUUGCUGUCAUCAACAGCCAGCUGGCUGAAAUCAAGCCACCACACAGCUCCACGAGACUCCCAAGGGCACUGAGCACACGCCUAUUCUGGAAGGCUUCCGAAUGGCGCCACUGGCUGCUGUACCACUCGCUUCCCUGCAUGUACAGGGUCCUUCUGGACCAAUACUGGCCGUACAUAAAGAAGCUGGUGGAGGCCGUCCAUGCACUUUUGAGGGACACCGUAACUCCAGCAUCCAUUGAUGUUGCACGCGAGUUCUCCCCCUUCGGUUUCUUUGUGUCCUGCUUCGGGCCAGCUUUAAUAAUGUCAUAUUGUGCUUUCAGAGAAACUCCUCUGGACCUUUGUGGGCAUGACAGGGAGGCUGUAUGGAGCUCCAGCAAUGACGUUCAGCCUGCACCAGUUACUCCACCUAGCGGAAGCAGUGCAGCAACUGGGGCCAUUCUGCUUUUGAAUUUGAAAGCGGUAACGGGCAGCUUGUGAAGCUGGUGAAAGGAUCAAAUGCUCUUCCGGAAAGGGUAGUGAAGUAUCAGCAGUUGGGAUCAAACUUUGGUGUCCUCGCUUCUAAGUGACAGCGUCAAAGUGAUGUGCUGUGAUAUUCUGGGAUACACUAAACACCAAAACUUCAAGUAUGCAAACGAAGUGUGCCUGCUCGGUUCCUCUUCGAAGGCAUCCUUGAGCAAAGAGGAACAGAGUUGUCUUUCCGCUGGAUUUGGGGCCGCCUUUGAUCAGGCUACAGAGUACAAGCACUUCGCAUGGAAAGGGCAGAUUUGUCACAGCCGAAACUAUGCCAGGAGUAAAAAGACAGACUCCUAGGUCAUUCAAAUAAAGGAUAUGUGCGAUUUCACCAUUUUGAGAGUGUUGCCUUUGAAAGGUGAGGUAACACUUCUGUGCAGGGAAGUUGUCAUCACUUGUGCAGGUGCUUUCCCGCAGCACAUCAGGCUUUGUUUUCUUUCUCACGUGAACUUGCAGGCUGUUAAACCACAGCAGCUGAAGGCACCAUGCCUUUUUCUCACUUUCAGGAAGCCCUCAGCAUGCUAUGUCUGUGAUCUGUCAAACCUUCUUGAGCGCGAUUGAUGUAAUGUAAC